AAGAACGACCCGCGAACCGUCAUUGCUUACUAGACAGAGCCCGUGAGCGCCUAACGCUCGUGGGGCUCGCGCCGCGUCGGCGCGGGUGUCCUCGAGACCCGCGUCGUACCGGCGGACAAACAACGUCAGCACGGAUCGUGCCAAGGAGCUGCAAGGAGAGAAUCGUCGUCCCACGCCUUUGAUAGUCCUCGACGCGGGACGGGGGACGUACGCAAUCUCUACUCAAAAGUCUAAACGACUCUCGGCAACGGAUAUCUCGGCUCUUGCAUCGAUGAAGAACGUAGCGAAAUGCGAUACUUGGUGUGAAUUGCAGAAUCCCGUGAACCAUCAAUUCUUUGAACGCAAGUUGCGCCCGAAGCCAUUCGGCCGAGGGCACGCCUGCCUGGGUGUCGUGAAUCCCCUUGCCCCUAGGCACCCCGCAUGAGCAUUGGCGGGGAUAUAUAUGCUCGGGCGCAGAACAUGGUCUCCCGUGGGAUCGGCAUGCACGGCACGUCGAGCUGCGGUUGGCCGAAAAUCGAGCAUGGCGGUGACGAGCACCGCGGCGUUCGGUGGAUCGAAUCAGAUUGGCUGCGCCGUGGGCUCGGCAUGCGGCGGGCUCCGGACUUUGAAUAUCCCCGAGUGCGAUCCCAGGUCAGGCGGGGCUACCCGCUGAGUUUAAG
rnacentral:rRNA from 1 species